CUCUUCUCUUUCUAUUUUCGUUCAUUUCCCUCGUCCCACUCCUUCGCACCUACUGACACCCGCCAUCUUCCUCACUCUUUCUCCUCCAAUCCCUCAUUCUCUCCCUCUCUCCAUCCCGCCCAUGGCUUCGUCCUCUCCCUUUCUUUCCAAAAUCCCCAUCUCCAACAGAACCAUCUCCUUCGCAUCUUCUCUCUCCCCCCUUCCUUCGACAUUUCCUUCCAAAUCCCUCCGCCAUCACAGACGAAAUGCCUUCAAAGUUCAAUCGAAGAUCCGCGAAAUCUUCAUGCCCGCUCUCAGCUCCACCAUGACUGAGGGCAAGAUCGUCUCCUGGAUUAAAUCCGAAGGUGACGUCCUCUCCAAAGGUGAAAGCGUCGUGGUUGUCGAGUCCGAUAAGGCCGACAUGGAUGUUGAGACCUUCUACGACGGCAUUCUCGCUGCAAUUGUUGUCCCCGAAGGUGAAACUGCUCCUGUCGGCGCUCCUAUUGGACUUUUAGCUGAGACUGAAGAGGAAAUUGCCGAAGCCAAAGCAAAAGCCGCGUCUCAAACUGGUAGUACUGCUUCUCCUGCUAUUGCUCCCACUCCUCCUCGUGCUACUUCUACUCCUGCUCCUGCAAUUUCGCAAGCAACACCUGCUCCUGCGGCACCUGCUGCGGAGGGGCCCAGGAAGAUAGUGGCGACACCCUAUGCAAAGAAGUUGGCGAAGCAGCAUAAGGUGGAUAUCAACAAGGUGGUUGGAACAGGGCCGUUUGGGAGGAUAACCCCGGCAGACGUAGAGGCAGCGGUGGGUAUUACUCCUUCCAAGCCUGUGGCUCCUAAGCCAGCUCCAGCAGCGGCUGCCUCUCCCUAAAGCUGCUGCCACUUCAUCAGCUCCUGCUCUUCCUGGAUCUACGGUUAUAUCGUUUACAACAAUGCAAGCGGCGGUUUCGAAAAAUAUGGUGGACAGCCUUUCGGUGCCCACUUUUCGGGUUGGAUAUCCAGUGACAACUAAUGCACUUGAUGCACUAUAUGAGAAGGUGAAACCAAAAGGUGUGACAAUGACUGCAUUAUUGGCAAAAGCUGCAGCAAUGGCACUUGUUCA
rnacentral:misc_RNA from 1 species